rnacentral:rRNA from 1 species
UGGGGAAUAUUGCACAAUGGGCGCAAGCCUGAUGCAGCCAUGCCGCGUGUAUGAAGAAGGCCUUCGGGUUGUAAAGUACUUUCAGCGAGGAGGAAGGCGUUGUGGUUAAUAACCGCAACGAUUGACGUUACUCGCAGAAGAAGCACCGGCUAACUCCGUGCCAGCAGCCGCGGUAAUACGGAGGGGGCAAGCGUUAAUCGGAAUUACUGGGCGUAAAGCGCACGCAGGCGGUCUGUCAAGUCGGAUGUGAAAUCCCCUGGCUCAACCUGGGAACUGCAUCCGAAACUGGCAGGCUAGAGUCUUGUAGAGGGGGGUAGAAUUCCAGGUGUAGCGGUGAAAUGCGUAGAGAUCUGGAGGAAUACCGGUGGCGAAGGCGGCCCCCUGGACAAAGACUGACGCUCAGGUGCGAAAGCGUGGGGAGCAAACA